rnacentral:rRNA from 1 species
UCGAGAAUUUUUCACAAUGGGGGAAACCCUGAUGGAGCGACGCCGCGUGGAGGAUGAAGGUCUUCGGAUCGUAAACUCCUGUCACCCCAGAACAAAAUCAUUCAGGUUAAUACCGUGGAUGGUCGAUGGUAUGGGGAGAGGAAGGGACGGCUAACUCUGUGCCAGCAGCCGCGGUAAUACAGAGGUCCCAAGCGUUGUUCGGAUUCACUGGGCGUAAAGGGUGUGUAGGAGGUUUGGUAAGUCGGGUGUGAAAGCCCACCGCUUAACGGUGGAAUGGCAUUCGAUACUGCUGGACUGGAGGAUUAGAGGGGCAAGCGGAAUUCAUGGUGUAGCAGUGAAAUGCGUAGAUAUCAUGAGGAACACCGGUGGCGAAAGCGGCUUGCUAGAUAAUUCCUGACUCUGAAACACGAAAGCCAGGGGAGCAAACGGGAUUAGAUACCCCCGUAGUCC